AUUUGGUCGUAUGGUUUGUAGUUUGGUCCGGUUUAGUUUGUAGGUAAUAUGAUUGUAGUUUGGUCUGAUUUGUGUCUUCAGCGUUUUGUUUCAUAAAUGCUUGCCUUUUGUGCUUCAUACAUCCGAUUAGGGCUUCAUCGUUGUCUUCCUUCCUUACAGAACUCAAUCCACCGUAUCCACGUAUAUGAUAGCUUCUCCCUAAAACAUUAUAUAUCUCACACGGUAGCUACGUUCAUGUAAGCCAAUCUUCCCUUGAAAGUUUGUAAUGUUUCUUCGAGUUUCAUCUGCGGUGACAAUAAAAAAUUUUGGGUUCAUCUUUUGGACAAUCGAUUUCAUCUUCUAAGAAACGUAUAUCAUAGAUUGGUAAUUUUUAUUCCAUAAGCUGUCAGAUUGAUGAUGUAUACAUUCAACAUCCGUAUGUUUGGGUUUGAAUAAUUGUCCGUCAAAAAAGUUGGUGAUUUUAAUUGUUGCUUUCAAUCUCACAUCAAAGAUUCUAAAUUUUGAUGUCACUAUGGUUUCCGCCGCAAAAGCCCCCUGCGUGCUGAACCGCUUCUCCCUCUCCUGUCACCACGAAGAUAAGUGAAUGACGACAAGAACGAAAGGAUAAAGUGGGAAUAUAGGACAUGAGAAGCACUGGUAUCGUUAACAGCUUUAGUUAGUGCGAAGAGAAAAGCUAAACAACUAAUCAUUUGUUAGAUUUGGGAUAGUUUAAUGUUUUACCAUCAUGUCUCUUGGUAAUGUGAAGUUAUGAAUCAGCUGUUUCAAGAAAAGUGACGUUCCAGAGUUACAUUUGUACCGGUGUUUGGCCAGCGUGUAAUACUAAUAUGCAUCCCAAUGGAUAGCUUAACAGUAACUUUAUGAUCACAUGGUUUGACCCUCUUGCACUAUAUCUCUCUUUCGCCCCAUUCACUAGCACAAAUCUCUCUGAUCUCAUAUAAUUUUGUUGUUAUUUGUAGAACCAUUUUAACGAUCAAAGCUCAUUGCUGUGUUCACGAAAUUUAAGCAGGUCUCUUGAUGGAAGCUUGACCGAUAGGUGAGUGUCCAUGCAGAUUUGACUCGAUGUUGUCUUUGAUAAUGAAAGAAUGAAGAACAAUAUCUUAUGAAGAUCACUAGGACCGCCAUAAGAAACCAGGACAAGCCGAAGUAAUCCUCUGCAGUCCAUGGCAAACCAAGCAUCUACAUCAAUCGGUGUCAGUUUACAGCACAAAGAUGCUUAGUGUUAUACGUUUCUCAGCUCACUCCAGGACUUAAUUGGAGCGGGCGAUGGAGAGAAUUAGGAGGAGAUUUUGUUUCUUGGUUUUGGUUUCUGGUCAGAGAAGCGAAGAUCAUUCUUAUUCAGGUCAUUUCUUGCUUUUAAAUGUUUCUCAGAUUUUGUUUCUGUAUCUGGUAUAGUGUUUCGAUUUAGAUUGUCAGCACUUGCCUUAAUUAAGUAUUGACAUGAUGCUCUAUCCACAGUCUGGAGUCAAGUAGAGUCAUGUUCUAUAGCGACUUAUGUUGUCCUCAUCUGAUUAUUGGAGUAUUACAAAAUGAUUACCAUACAAAAUGAAAGUAUCUCCAAUCAUUUGUCUUUUGCAUCCAUGAAUACACAAACUUUUUGAUGGAUAUUACUUCUGUCAAGUACAAAGAGAAGACUACUUUCAUCGAGCCAAGCCUUACAAGGACCAUCCUACCAUUGCAAGAAGCUGAAAAUGGAUUUUAGUGUAGUAAUACCGGUUAUCUUCCUUGAGGAGGCAAAUAAUGCACAUUACAACUCAAUUGACCUCAGGGCUUAUAGGAAGUCACAUAUUCAUGAUGGAGCAGCAGGUGAGUCAAGUUUGGAGUUGGAAAGAGGUUGACCUUCUUUUGCUGAUACCUAUUGUUUACUUCAAGUUAUCAAGAGAAAUUUCAUUUCAAUCCUGGUGACACUGGCUUUAAUGUAGUCUUGAGCGGCAGGAUCCCCAAACUAAAGUUUGCAAAAAUUGAAGAGUGUCUUAUUCAGCUAUACGUUGGGAUCAAUGGUUACCGAGGCAACUCGAGGUAUGAUUCUUCAAGGUGUUGAACUGUUUUAUACCACUGCCACUGGCUCUGGACCUCAAGACCAUGGAUUAGAUUCGGGUGAUCACUAGAGGAGAGUCAUGCAAGGCCACGCUGGAGCUAAUAUUAUGAGCUAUUAGCCCAAGGAUCAUGAGUGAUUUGGAAGAAAGUGAUGAUUUUGGAGCAUUUUGGAGAUAAUUGGAGAGAGCAUCCGAGGUGACCAUCAAGCAAGACCAAUGGUCGACAUUCAGAGACAAUAAUCGAUCGAUGCACAUCUUGUGACAUUGAUCGACAGCGAAGCGCGCAGAAGCCCGUUUGGUUCCAGCCGACUUAUAGCCCAAGACUUCACCAAUUUACAUGAUUAUCCCUGACGAGUUUUAACCUAAUAUUUAUAGCUUGCCAAAGUGUUAGAGGCAAAGUGUGCUUUCUUGUUUUCUUAUUUUCACAGCAAAAGGUUUUCUAGGAUUUUAGCAGAGUUGGAGAAAAGAUCCAAAGAGAUUUGUGAUAGAAACUCCAUUAUUAUCUAUCUAUCUAUGCAGUUUUUAUACUUUAUUGUUGUUAUGAAUUGCUUACCUAUGUCUGAGUAGUUAUAUUGUUAGGUUUAGGGUUUAAAUAGGUUAUGAGGGAUUAGCCCCAACUAUAGAUUGCUAAGUUAGGAUAUUCAUCCUUAGAACUGUCAUUAAUGCAUGUUUUUAGUUUAGCUAGCUAGAACCUUGACCUAGGAGUUUAGGCACAAGUUAACACUUGAAUCUCACCAUGAAUCCGUCCUAAUUGAGCUAGGAUUGUUAGAGUAAGGCGAAGGCUGAUCUAGUAAGCCUAGUGAGCAUUAUUCAACCUGCGCGUAAAGCUUGACUAAGAACAUGUCGAUCGAUAUUCCUAUAAAAUAAUCGAUCGACGGUGCAAAAGGUGUAUCGAUUGAUAUUCCUCUAGAAUCAUCGAUCGACACUUAUAUCUGGUCAAUAGACAAACCUAGAAAGCGAACGCCGAUCGGUUUGUUCAUAAGUGUUUGAGCUCUAUUAUAUCAUGCAUAAAACUGUUAGGCAUCUGUAGGAUUAUAAUCCUGAUUACCUGAAUAGAAAUCCUAAGUCUAACUAUUUCAUUUAAGUGCCAAAAACUCAAUCAAGCCAAUCGAGCAACUGCCUUGCUCACAACAUGUUAUUUACAUUUAAACAUAAAUAACCUAGGUUAAUCAUUCUGAUUAGAUUUAUUUGGUUCCCUAGCUCCUUGUGGAUUCAAUCCUUGAGUAUUACAAUUGAACAUCUUAUUUGAGAGAGUAAUUCACUCCUUAAGGUAAUUGGAGUGAGAUCUUUCCGCGCUUAUAAGUAUUAAAAUCUAAUAAAAGUAAAAAUAUAUAUACUAUACUAAAAGGGAGAUAACUAGAGCGGGGAGAGUGUCCACCUCAGAUUAAAAAAUCAACCAAUCAGGGAAAUCCUUUAUGCCAUGUCAUUAGUUAUUGUCGAAAAUAAAGAUAAAAGGAAGCUUCGAUCAACCGCCUCUGCUUCUCUCACUUCGUCUUCUCGGUUACAUCUUCAUGAAAUCUACGUUAUAGCUACCAAUAUUAUCAAUAAAUUGUGUUCUUCAAGCUCCUCUUUACGAAUUCAUUUCUUAUCCUUUGUUUUUCCUUCUUUAUAAACCCUUCGCCUAGAUUUAAUCCAGUCAAAAACGAAAACCUCCACUAAAGAAGUUGAAGCUAUGGCGAUGAAACCCAAUGGAUAGUAAUCCACUAGAAAGUCUCCCGUCACCACCGGAAAGUCUCCCGUGCAGUAUGCUGUUAAAUUGUUUUGGCCGUGUGGCGAUUCUGAUUUUUAGGAACGAACGAACACACAUGAAUUUCAUAUGUUCAUGUCUUCCCUUCUUCAGGUUCAUUCCUUUAUUCAUAUAAUGGUUUCAUGGCCAAGCGUUAACCAUUCGAAAUAUUUGUCAUUCAGCUAUUUGAUAUGGUAUAUGGAGAAUUUUCAAGAUUUCUAUUCGGUUUGCUCUGGGUGAGAACAAAUCGUAAAAAGAUGCAGCCACAACAGGAAUAAAAAACACUAUGAAAAAAUUAUUACAAAGCAAAACGGUAAGAUUAUUACAGAGCAAAAAGAGUCCUUAAUCUUUGUUCCAAGAAUUUUGUUGUACCUGAUUUUGAAUGGUUUUGAUUGUCUUUAUGUAAGGAUCAAGCAUCUUCGCACAUGGUGUUCAAGAGAUCAUACAGAUGGACCUGAAGACAAGUAAGAUGAUCUUACCUGAUAAACACAUGCGGGCGAUUUCAGUUUGUCUAAAUUGGCAGUUGACAGAGCCUUUCAUGUCUCCGGCAUAUUGUCCAUGGCACAGUUGGAUAUCUGGAGCCCAAGUAUAUAACUCUGGAGUCCUUUUUCGUGGGUCAAACUGUGGAGUCCUUCUUGAGCUUAUGUCAGGCGUAGGCGUAGAAGCCAUAUCGAAUGAACACUUCCGAGUUCAUUAUACAAGGUAUAUUACUAAUCUGAGCUUUUUUAUUUUUUAAUGAACAGGCGUACAAAACAAAGAAAUGUUGCUAAGUGUCGGUCAGGAAAUGGCACUUCUGAGCUGUAGAGUUUGGUUAAAACGUUUUUCAGCAAUAUGCACCAAACUGUGAUCGAGAAUCGUGGAUUAAGGUUCUCGACUUUGUUAGCAGGAUUUUCCAUGGAAGUGUAGUUUUUUUUGUUGCUAACAUCGAUAGAAGUGUAGUUUUGAGAGGUACGAAGCUGUUAUGUAAUUGUGAGGAUUCUUGAGAAGAUUUGCGGUGGGUUAGCAGAAACAACAGCUGGCAAAUUAAUAGUAAUGUUUUCCAAGGUAAAAUACUGAUUGAAAGUGUACGGUUCUUUUGUUUAUUUAUGAGUGAAUAAUACUAUUGUCUGUUUAGUUUAACCCUUUCCAUUACCAUGUUUCUAAAGUGAUCGACUUAGACGCUGCGAAGAGUUUUGAAAAUGGAGAAGGUGUGCGUCUGAUAGCACCUCAGGAUGCCUGCAAGCUGCAACCAUUCAGCCAAGUAUAUUCGCACGGAAAUAUAGAUUGAUGGCGCGGACGGGUAAACACUCGAAUCUAGGAAAUAGUUGGCUCUGGAUGAAUCCAUUGAGAAGUUGCGACACAACGUCAAAGUCUUUCUCGACCGCCAGUGUCACGAUCUUGGGGGAGAAGAAGGCACAGUCUACGUGGUUAUCAGGUUUGAGAGAAUCGGAUGUGAAUAUUACUCUGUCUGUUUAGUCUAACCUUUUUCAUCACCAUGUUUCUGAAGAGAUCGAGUUAGACGCUGCAAAUAGUUGCAUGUGAGGGUGAGUAAAAUGGAAAGUGUGAGGAUAAGACAAUGAUGUUCAGGAGUUUACACCUGGCUCUCGAGACUUCACAAUAGAGAGCUUGAAGACAAAGCCAAAGAAGUACCAGAGCUGAAAACAGAGAGACAUAAGAAAAAACUUAAUAUAGACGAGGUCGAGGGUAUCGCGAGGCUGAAUCUAGCAGAGGCAGCCAUGUUAUAGCUUAAAGCUAACAAAGCAUAACGGGAGUCUGAGAGGUUGUAAAGAUUGUACUACGAAAACGGAAAAGUUUGAGGAGGAAUACGCAAGUAACUUCUGAACAGAGGUUGGCCAAGGCUGAGGCAGAGAAGCAAUAUAUGUUUGAGAAGAUUAACCUGACGGAAAAUUCAAGCUCGCAUCACAAAGUAGUGGUGGUGGAGGAGACCCGUCACAUGUGUGAUGUACUCAAAGAUCUGUGAUCUACUUCAUGGUAACAAUCUCACGCCUAAGGUAGAUCCUCAAUCAAAAGAGCACCAUCCUUUCAUAUCCAAACAUUGACGCUUCUUCCCUUCUAAGUUUGUUAAUUUUGUGUAAACAAGAUCUUUUAAUAAACAAGAGUGUAGAUAUGUGGAAUCUUUCUCAGGCCAAGAAGCUUUGCUUAAUUUGGAGAGUCAUGGUUUAUUUUAUAUGAUAUAU